AGGAUAAACGCUGGCGGCGUGCCUAACACAUGCAAGUCGAACGCCCUACGCAAGUAGGGAGUGGCGGACGGGUGAGGAACACGUGGGUUAUCUGCCUUUCGGUGAGGAAUACCAGCGAGAAAUCGCUGACAAUACCGCAUACGGUUCUUUCGAGAGAGAGAACGAAAGUCGCAAGACGCCGGGAGAUGAGCCUGCGCCCGAUUAGUUAGUUGGUGGGGUAAAAGCCUACCAAGACUGCAAUCGGUAGCUGGUCUGAGAGGACGAUCAGCCACACUGGGAUUGAGAACGGCCCAGACUCCUACGGGGGCAGCAGUGAGGAAUUUUCGUCAAUGGGGGCAACCCUGAACGAGCAACGCCGCGUGCAGGAAGAAGGUUUUCGGAUCGUAAACUGCUUUUCUCGGGGAAGAGAACGGACGGUACCCGAGGAAUCAGCCCCGGCUAACUACGUGCCAGCAGCCGC
rnacentral:rRNA from 1 species